GGCAACUUCGGUAGCCGAAUGCUGCCUCCACAAAGGGGGUUCGGCGGCCGAAACUCCCUUCGGCUGCCGAACCUGGUUUCUGCCAAAGGGCAGAAACUUGGUUCAAACGAACCUCUUGCCUCCCAAAACCUCUAAUCAUGCAUAAUCUUGCUCUACAACAUGCAUACUUCACCUACAUUACACCUAGGGGUCUCAAACUAUCAUAUACCCCAUCUACAACAC
rnacentral:lncRNA from 1 species